CCUACGGGAGGCAGCAGUGGGGAAUAUUGGGCAAUGGGCGCAAGCCUGACCCAGCAACGCCGCGUGAAGGAAGAAGGCUUUCGGGUUGUAAACUUCUUUUAAGGGGGAAGAGCAGAAGACGGUACCCCUUGAAUAAGCCACGGCUAACUACGUGCCAGCAGCCGCGGUAAUACGUAGGUGGCAAGCGUUAUCCGGAUUUACUGGGUGUAAAGGGCGUGUAGGCGGGACUGCAAGUCAGAUGUGAAAACCACGGGCUCAACCUGUGGCCUGCAUUUGAAACUGUAGUUCUUGAGUACUGGAGAGGCAGACGGAAUGCCUAGUGUAGCGGUGAAAUGCGUAGAUAUUAGGAGGAACACCAGUGGCGAAGGCGGUCUGCUGGACAGCAACUGACGCUGAGGCGCGAAAGCGUGGGUAGCAAACAGGAUUAGAUACCCCUGUAGUC
rnacentral:rRNA from 1 species